UACGUACUUAGCUUGUUCAACUUCUACAGUUUUAUAGGUUGACUUUAUUUCAACUGUUGCCGGUUCGCUGGUUUCGGUCUUAGCAUAUCCCAAGUUGUAUCCUGGAGCUCGAACAGAUCCGUAUUUCUUUCCCGGGGUUUUAACUUCAUAAGUUGAAGGAGCGACGUAGGUAGGAGCGACAUAGGCUGGGGCUUUGUAGACUGGAGCAGCGGUGGUUGGUGCCACGUAAACGGGGGCAGCAGUUGUAGGAGCAACAUAAACGGGUGCAGCGGUGGUUGGUGCAACGUAGACU